AAUCUUCCACAAUGGGCGAAAGUCUGAUGGAGCAACGCCGCGUGAGUGAAGAAGGUUUUCGGAUCGUAAAACUCUGUUGUAUGGGAAGAACAAGUACAGUAGUAACUGGCUGUACCUUGACUGUACCUUAUUAGAAAGCCACGGCUAACUAUGUGCCAGAAGACGCGGUAAUACGUAGGUGGCAAGCGUUGUCCGCAAUUAUUGGGCGUAAAGCGCGCGCAGGCUGUCCUUUAAGUCAGAUGUGAAAGCCAACGGCUCAAGCGUGGAGGGUAAUUGGAAACUGGGGGACUUGAGUGCAGAAGGGGAAAGUGGAAUUCCAAGUGUAGCGGUGAAAUGAGUAGAGAUUUGGAGGAACACCAGUGGCGAAGGCGACUUUCUGGUCUGUAACUGACGCUGAGGCGCGAAAGCGUGGGGAGCAAACA
rnacentral:rRNA from 1 species